GAGAGAGAGAGAGAGAGAGAGAGAGAGAGAGAGAGAGAGAGAGACAGGGAGAGAGUGUCCGGCCGUCUGUCUGUGUUUUCUUUCUACAACCGACACAGAGACACUGAGGCCCCCCCCCCCCCCAACCAAAACCCAGGGAGGAGGUCCCAGAAUAAAAUUUGAAUAACAUUUAUUGUUUUAUUUAUACUUUCUGAUUAAUAUAUUAUUAUUAUUAAGGCACUUAUGGAAGCAUUAUUCACUAAUGAAACAAGAAAUCAUCAGCUGAACACACGAGAACAUUCAGUUGGAUCCACUGAGUUGUUUAUUACAAUUAUGCUUCAUGAACAAAAAAGACAGAAAAAUAGUCCCUUAAAUGUACACAAUAAACACGAGGACUAAAACAAUAGAAGCAGCAGACUUUACAAAUCAUCAACAGGGGUGGACAUAUCUUUAAUAACUGAACAUGUUCUGCGGCCGCUUGCUUCCCAACAGAAAACAAAAAAUCAAGAUUCAGUUUAAAGUAAUUUACAACAUGCAACAUUAUCCCAUAGACAUCUUGGUUAUUAUGAAUAAAACAUAACAUCUGCUUUAAAUCAGGUUUCAAAUCAGGAUUAUGACAAAAAUGAUGAUUAGAGAUGCCUUAAGACUUAUACUGGUGAAGUCUGAAAAUAUAUAAAGAUUUACCAUCAAUAGGUAUUAUAUGUACAUUUCAAAUAAUAAAUGUGCUUAUCUAACUAUGGGAUAUCUGAAAAGUAUUUUCAUGGUUUAUCAUGCUAUACUUUAAAGAAGAGAGAGAGAGAGAGAGAGAGAGAGAGAGAGAGAGAGAGAGAGAGAGAGAGAGAGAGAGAGAGAGAGAGAGAGAGAGAGAGAGAGAGAGAGAGAGAGAGAGAGAGA